UAGGAUUCUUUGGGUUCAGGAUGAAAAUCCAGCAGGAUUUGAACGGGAUUGAGAUGAAGAUCCAGCAGGAUCCAUUUGGGAUUGAGGUGGAAAUCCAGAAGGAUUUUUUGGGUUCAGGAUGAAUUCCAUUGGGAUUUUUUGCUAUGGGGAUGAAAAUCCUGGAGGAUCUGCAUGGGGUCAAGAUGAAGAUCCAGUAGGAUUUGUGUGGGAUUGGGAUGAGAAUCCAAUUGGAUUCUUUGAGUUCAGGAUGAAGAUCCAAAUCCAGCUGGAUUUUUUGGUUUGAUGAUGAAAAUCCAGUGGGAUUUUUUGC